rnacentral:rRNA from 1 species
UUGGGCUAAACGUCCGUAGCCGGUCUGAUACAUUCGUGGGUAAAUCAACCAGCUCAACUGGUUGAAUUCUGCGAGGACGGUCAGACUUGGGACCGGGAGAGGUGUGGGGUACGCUCAGGGUAGGGGUAAAAUCCUGUCAUCCUGAGCGGACCACCUGUUGCGAAGGCGCCACACUAGAACGGAUCCGACGGUCAGGGACGAAGCCUAGGGGCACGAACCGGAUUAGAUACCCGGGUAGUCCUAGGUGUAAACGCUGUGGACUUGAUGUUGGGGGUGCUCCGAGCACUCUCAGUGUCGAAGCGAAGGUGAUAAGUCCACUGCCUGGGAAGUACGGUCGCAAGGCUGAAACUUAAAGGAAUUGG